rnacentral:rRNA from 1 species
CCUACGGGUGACAGCAGUGGGGAAUAUUGGACAAUGGGGGGAACCCUGAUCCAGCCAUGCCGCGUGUGUGAAGAAGGCCCUCGGGUUGUAAAGCACUUUCAGUGAGGAAGAACGCCUGGUGGUUAAUACCCAUCAGGAAAGACAUCACUCACAGAAGAAGCACCGGCUAACUCCGUGCCAGCAGCCGCGGUAAUACGGAGGGUGCGAGCGUUAAUCGGAAUUACUGGGCGUAAAGCGCGCGUAGGUGGCUUGAUAAGCCGGUUGUGAAAGCCCCGGGCUCAACCUGGGAACGGCAUCCGGAACUGUCAAGCUAGAGUGCAGGAGAGGAAGGUAGAAUUCCCGGUGUAGCGGUGAAAUGCGUAGAGAUCGGGAGGAAUACCAGUGGCGAAGGCGGCCUUCUGGACUGACACUGACACUGAGGUGCGAAAGCGUGGGUAGCAAACAGGAUUAGAUACCCCGGUAGUC